rnacentral:rRNA from 1 species
UUAUAUUGUGUGGGGUUCACAGAGCCCACUCUGUAAGAGUUUAAAAGGGGCGGGGUGGGGGGGCUAUCAGUAUUUUCAAUUGUUAAAGGGGGAAAUAUUUUUGGGAAUUUAUUGAAAGGCCAAACUUCGGGAGAAAGGCUUUUGCCAGAGGGCCUUUUUUCUUUAAUCCAAGAACGAAAGGUUAGGGGAUCGAAGAUGCUCAGAUCCCUUCGUUAGUCUUUAACCAAAAACUAUCCCCGCUUAGGGAUCGGGGCUUUGUUCUUUUUUGGACCCCGCCCCGGCCCCUUACCGAAAAAAUCAAAAGUCUUUGGGUUUCUGGGGGGGAGUUAUGGUCGCAAAGGCUGAACACUUAAAGGAAUUUGCGGGAAGGGCCCCCCCCCGGGAGUGGGCCCUGCGGCUUAUAUUUGACUCAACCCGGGGAAACUCCCCAGGUCCAGACACAAUAAGGAUUGACAGAUUGAGAGCUCUUUCUUGAUUUUGUGGGGUGGUGGUGCAUGGCCGUUCUUAGUUGGUGGAGUGAUUUGUCUGCUUAAUUGCGAUAACGAACGAGACCUUAACCUACUAAAUAGUGCUGUUAGCUUUUGCUGAUAUUGACACUUCUUAGAGGGACUAUCGAUUUCAAGUCGAUGGAAGUUUGAGGCAAUAACAGGUCUGUGAUGCCCUUAGACGUUCUGGGCCCGCACGCGCGCUACACUGACGGAGCCAGCGAGUACUAACCUUGGCCGAGAGGUCUGGGUAAUCAAAGUGAAACUCCGUCGUGCUGGGGAUAGAGCAUUGUAAUUAUUGCUCUUCAACGAGGAAUUCCUAGUAAGCGCAAGUCAUCAGCUUGCGUUGAUUACGUCCCUGCCCUUUGCACACACCGCCCGUC